rnacentral:misc_RNA from 1 species
AUCUGUGCCUGGUAUGACUUCGAAAGGUCGAGAGCCAGUAUUUUUCUUCUUCGACAUCGAAGCCGCGAACAGUUCAGUUGGUGCUGACAUAAUUCAAUUUGGGUUACGUGCGAUCCAAGUGUCCAUUUGAUGGCAGAGUUUAGUGCAUUUGUGAAAACAAAGCAGAAAUUAUCAUCAUUCAGUAAUUUAAUCUUUUUUAAUGUUGAAAAAAUUAUCUUUAUGUCGAAAUCUUUGCACAAUUCUUUGCAUACGCUUCAUCUUUCUUUGCCCUUUCCAGCCAUCAAACACCAGAUCCUUUUCCUCUUGUUUUCAAGAGGAUGAUGAAAUGGGUGACCAAUAGGACUUUGGCAGCAAGCAGGAAAAGUAGAAAAAAGGGAAAACAACAGAAAAUGUUUUACCCAGUUUUGCUUGCUCAUGGUGGCAAUCGGUCGGACUUUCCGAUGUUGGUGGACAACAUCUCUCGCCACAAAGCCUCAUCCGGCUAUUUGUACCCGAGACUUCGUGUGGGGGACACAUACCAACUUUGUGUAAAGCUUCAAGAAAACGGUUUGCCAAUAUUUGACAAACAAACGAAAUUAGGAAUGGAAGGUUUGCACAAAUUAUUCUUCCCUGGUGAAGACUUUAAAGAUCGUCACAGUGCUUUGGGAGAUGCCAGGUUGAUGAGGCAAAUUUUCGGGGGGCCGCUUCGCAACCACCUGGAAGAAAUCGAAACAAAGACGUUGUCUUCCUUUGUGGGUUUGCAAAAAAAGAAAAAGAAAAAAAAAGAAAGAAACCAAACCAUUGGCGAAGGUUGGCAUUGAAUUCGAGCAUUAACUCAGUAUUCGCUAUGCAAUUUGACGUAACCGCCUAUUUGGAAAGUUGAUUGAUGAAAAUUGACUUGAUUAUCAAUUACUGCAUCAUGGCAGAGUCGGUCGCAUGCAACUUUAUAAACACUCCCGUAUAUGAAGCAAUAGCUUCCUGGAUAGAAACGGCCUCUCUACCGAUUGUUUUGUUGGGAGCCAAAGGAGUGGGAAAGACAACCACGCUAAUCAUGUUACAUGAAUCAUGCAAAAGACCGAAACAUUAUUUUUACCGUAAUCGGGGGCGUCUUGUCUGUGCAGUGUCCAGAUAUGGACUUGUGGGUUUGCUGAAAAAGUUCCGUAUAAACUACUCCGACCUCAAUACACAAGUGGUGAAUCCGACUGAGGAGGUUGCAUGGUCGUUACUGAGACGGGUAUGUUGUGGAACAAAUGUCUAGUGAUGCUUGAUUGCUGAUGCAGUUGAUUCUAGGUGUAUCAGCAAUGCUGCUUUUAACUAAUAUUCCGUUUGAACUCUUUUAGUCCUACAACGAAAUGAUCUCCGACCCCGCAAACGAGCCUAAGAUAAGAGAGUUUUUGGAGUACGUUGGGUUUGUUCCCCGUUUGGUUGAGUCAUUAAUACAAGAAUGUAGAGUACAAAAAA